rnacentral:rRNA from 1 species
AUUGAACGCUGGCGGCAUGCUUUACACAUGCAAGUCGAACGGUAACAGGCCGCAAGGUGCUGACGAGUGGCGAACGGGUGAGUAAUGCAUCGGAACGUGCCCAGUCGUGGGGGAUAACUACUCGAAAGAGUAGCUAAUACCGCAUACGAUCUAUGGAUGAAAGCGGGGGACCGUAAGGCCUCGCGCGAUUGCAGCGGCCGAUGUCAGAUUAGGUAGUUGGUGGGGUAAAGGCUCACCAAGCCAACGAUCUGUAGCUGGUCUGAGAGGACGACCAGCCACACUGGGACUGAGACACGGCCCAGACUCCUACGGGAGGCAGCAGUGGGGAAUUUUGGACAAUGGGCGCAAGCCUGAUCCAGCAAUGCCGCGUGCAGGAAGAAGGCCUUCGGGUUGUAAACUGCUUUUGUACGGAACGAAACGGCUCUGGUUAAUACCCGGGGCUAAUGACGGUACCGUAAGAAUAAGCACCGGCUAACUACGUG